AAUAAGUUAGAUGAAUCAACACUUUUGAGGCCUAUUUAAGUCUUUCAACUUGUACCACUUGAGGGCAUUCAAAACCUUACGGACUUUGAAACCUCUCUACACUAUCUCCCAAUUUUCCAUAAUUCCCAUCCAUGUUCUAUCUUUCCCUAAAUUAAUAAAGAGUUUGGAAAGGAGAGAGAACAUGGAAGAUGGGAGAUGGAAAAUAUGGUGAAAUGGAGAGAAUAGUAGAGAGGUUUUUCAAAGUCGGUGAGAUUUUGAAUGCCCUGUACUGAUACAAGUUGAAAGCCUUAAAUAGGCCUCAAAAGUGCCUGAGUAAUCUAUCUUAUUAUGCUUUAUAUUUUACAUGUGUGCACUUAUAUAUAGCCUUCACUGCAUGUUUAUCUUUUUUUGCUUGAAGUUUAUCUUCGAAAUAUAUAUCUUGUUA